CUGCUGUGGCUGUAAGCUUAUGUCGUGUGGAACCGCGUUGGAAAACAAAGCGUUUUUCUCCCGUAAACCCGUCUAUAAAAUUGUAUCACCUCAGCGGUCAGGUUUUUUUUUCCCUUUAAAUUGAUCUUCUUCAUAUUGAAGUGGCGAGCCGGUAGGACCAUUCUUUGUUUUUUUUUUCCCCCGCUUUGCCGUCUAUGGAUUACGGACAUAUUUUUUUUCCCCAUUGUAUGAAACUGGACCCUAAGGAGGAAUACCUUAAAAAGUGAACUUUAAAAAGAAACCGAAAAGGACUCUUAACAAAAGGACUCUUGCACAGAAAAUCACAGCAAUUGAUUUAUUAUUUGUUACACAAUUAUUUGAUUGUGGGCAUUUAUUUAUGUUGUGUGUUGUAUUGAUUAUUUUGGUCCAUUUCCCCUUUCCCCCAUUUAUUCAAUAUAUUUUUGGUACAAGAUACUACAGUCUUUGGUUUCAUCAUUCACACCAUCUAGGCUCCAUAAAGAACCAUUUCUUCUGCGCGUCAGUCAAUAAACUCGUCCAUUGCAAUAACACUAGCCCUUAAAUAACUUUGCGUUACAUGUAGCUGUUGCUCCUGUUGCCCGAGUUGACUGUGCAGGCUGUUCAUUGUGAGUGCUGACUCUUUUGAAAGAGACAGGCACAAACUCAUAUCUUGCAUACCUGCCUUGAUUUUGAAAAAGGUUAUGCAGGUGGUUGAUCAGGUCAUUCACAUGAGUGAAAGUGAGCAUGACUGCUGUUCCAUUUGGCUGGGGUAAACCUGCUGCACUUCUUGAAUGUGAAUCAAAUAAUCCAUACCUCCCAGAUUUGUCACGGAAAACUGCAAUGCACAGAGGUGAAACCAUGAGCAAAGCAUAGUUCACAUCUGUUGACAGACAUACAAGGCGACUAGCAAGAGGCAACCACCACUCUUUUCUUUGGUCCUCCAUGGUCAGAUGAUCUUGUGUAUAACGCCUCUCCUGCUGAAGAUUUGUUUUAAUCCAACAGUA